UUGCCUAAAACUAAAAUGCAUUCUCUUGGGGCCUUGUGAGCAAUGGGUAUGGACAGCAGCCUCCUGGGUAGUGUGUGCUCCCUGUUGCUGGUGGGGUUACCCUAAGGCCCCCUGGGCACAGUG
ensembl:snoRNA SNORA70 Small nucleolar RNA SNORA70